AAUUGACGGGGACCCGCACAAGCGGUGGAUGAUGUGGAUUAAUUCGAUGCAACGCGAAGAACCUUACUACCCCUUGACAUGUCCGGAACUUGCCAGAGAUGGCUUGGUGCCCGAAAGGGAAUCGGAACACAGGUGCUGUAUGGCUGUCGUCAGCUCGUGUCGUGAGAUGUUGGGUUAAGUCCCGCAACGAGCGCAACCCUUAUCAUUAGUUGCUACGCAAGGGCACUCUAAUGAGACUGCCGGUGACAAACCGGAGGAAGGUGGGGAUGACGUCAAGUCCUCAUGGCCCUUAUGGGUAGGGCUUCACACGUCAUACAAUGGUCGGUACAGAGGGUUGCCAAGCCGCGAGGCGGAGCCAAUCCCACAAAGCCGAUCGUAGUCCGGAUUGUUCUCUGCAACUCGAGAGCAUGAAGUCGGAAUCGCUAGUAAUCGCAGGUCAGCAUACUGCGGUGAAUACGUUCCCGGGUCUU
rnacentral:rRNA from 1 species